rnacentral:rRNA from 1 species
CCCUUAGAUGUUCUGGGCCGCACGCGUGCUACACUGAUGCAUUCAACGAGUCUAAAACCUGGUCUGAUAGGGCUGGGUAAUCUUUUGAAAGUGCAUCGUGAUUGGGAUAGAUGAUUGCAAUUCUUCAUCUUCAACGAGGAAUGCCUAGUAAACGCAAGUCAUCAGCUUGCAUUGAUUACGUCCCUGCCCUUUGUACACACCGCCCGUCGCACCUACCGAUUGAAUGGUCCGGUGAAAUCUCGGGACGGCGGCUUGGUCGCUUGCGUCCGACUGCUGAAACUUGAUUAAACCAUAUCAUUUAGAGGAAGGUGAAGUCGUANCA